ensembl:lncRNA
AUAUCAUGUUUAGGUACAAAUUCCCCAUGACAAAUGUGAUCAUUGUAUUAAUAAAAAUGUUUUUGUCAACUAAGUUUCCUGGUUCCAUUAAUACUGUGCUUCUCCCAACUAUCUGUUGCUGCUGCUUGACUCUAAGAAAACCAAUGGCCCCUAAGUGAUUUGAGUGAAGAGACAUUUGGACCAAAGGUGACAGGGUUCACAGAGGGUCUUGAGGGGAUGAACCUCAAGAAUGGCAAAUGAGCUCCGAUUCAGCAAGGUCAGAGACUCUUUUAAUGUUUGAGGAUGAAUUUUCCCACAAAAGUAACAUUUCUUAUAAUAAAACUAAGACAUCAUAAUAAGGUAUAAAAUAGAAAUUAUUUUAAACAUCGUAUUAGCCAUAUUACAUCAAAGCAGAACUUUUAGUAAUUUGAUGGGAUCUGCUUGUCUUUUAUUCUUCCCUGAAGACAGGCUUUGGAGUUUAACCUUUUUCUUUUUUAAUGCAGAAUCCAGUUGAAAAAAUAAUUUUGAUUUCUGCUUUAUUUUCCAUCCAAGUAUAUGAUAAUAUAUUGUUACCAAGCAGACUUCAUGAAUACCCACUUACUCAUUCAGAUAAUAUUUGGCAGGUAUUUCCUCUCUUGGUAGAAAUGGUGGCCCUGGAUUUCUACAAUAAUCAUGACAAAAACUGACGAAAAUCCCUCUUCUGUAGGACAAUGCACCAUAACUUGGGAAUAAAGAGUGUGGCUUCAAGCAGAAAACUGCAGCAGAAACCUGUCCAAAAACUGCUCCCCUGUGGCUUAUUCUCAUCAGAAGAGAAAUGUAACCAGUAUAUCCCCUCCUGGACGCCACAUGAAAGUACUUGGAAUUACCCAACUUCUGUUCAUCAAAAACAUAAUAGCAACAUGAAAAGGAAAUCCAAAAUUAGAAUAUGAAAUAUAUUAUAUGUUAAACAUGUAUAUAAUAUUAAAUCUGUUCUUCUAGUGAACUCUAAUUGAUACAAAUUCAAUGGAAAAAUACAAUCCAAUAAUAAGACAAUACCAACCAAACGUAUCUCACAAAAGAUGAAGGACAUAUGACCAUUGAAAUAUGAAAAUACUUUCAACCUUUAAAUCUUCAAAAUAAUAUCUUAUUAAUGAAAUUAAUGAAAAAUGCAAAUUUAGACUAGAGUCACAUUCUCAUUAGACUGACAAAACUUAAGUCUGGUAGCAAAAUUAUAGUAGAGAAUGGGGAUCAACAGUAAUUGUCUCUUGAUGCAGCUAACAAAUUUUUAAAGGACUAAUGUAGUAUUGUAAACUGAAACAUUCAAAUUUGUAUUAAAAUGAAAUAUCUUACAGUAAAGAAAAUGAAAAAAUACACUCUUCAUAACAUAAUUUUGAGAGAAAAAAAGCAAGUCCAAGGGGUGCAGAUUAAACAUAAAACUAGGUAAAAUUCAAAACCAAGAAAAGAAAAUAAUGCAUUAUUCUAUUUUAGCUAAAUAAUACACCAUUAUAAUAUACAAAAUAGAGCUACUGAAAAGAAAACUCAUGGGAGUGAUUCACAAACCAUUCAAUAUACCAUUACAACUGGAUUACAAAAACAGUAGAUGAAAAAAGAACUUCUGGCAUAUGGAUGUUGUUGGUAAUGUUCCAGUGCUUUGAAUGUUUGAGCUCUUGGGUUAGGAGUAAGUUUGUAGGUAUUUAUUAUAUACUUGUUAUUCUUUAAAACUUUCAUAUAUUACAUAUAAUUCAUAUUAUGUAUAUCAAAUAUGGUAUGAAAAUAUAAUAACAUUUUAAAAUUCAGAAAUUCUCGGUAGACUUCCAGUUUUAUAUUUCAUGAGAUAGGCUGGUCUCUUAGGGUCAUAUCAACAGGUGAACUUAGAACAUAGUUGUGGUGGGGCCAGGGAUUUAGCUCAGUGGCACUGUGUGUGCCUCCCAAGUGAGAUUCCCCGUACCAAAACCAAAAAAAAAAAAAGAACAUAGUUGUGGUGGUUAGGAUGGAAUAUCAACUUGGAUUGGCUUUGGGGUCUGCCCUGGGGAUUGGUGGAGCACACUUGUAGGUGUGUCUGUGUGGGUAGUGAGACAUGAGCUUGGGAGUCUAGAUCUGACCCUUGCCACUUCUGCUCUGUCCCUCCUCUCUGGCUCUGCUUUCUGGGAGACGUGAGCUAAACAGCUUGCUCUACCAUACCUUCUGCUGUGAUGUUUCUGCCUUGGAACCAGCCAGCCACAGACCCAUACAAUGAGCCAAAUUACCCUUCUCCUCCUGGAAGAUGUGGGUGUCAGGUAGCGUGUCUGGCAUUGGGACAGCUGACAUAUACAAUGGUGAAUGUGAAAUUGGAACAUUUAGUUUCAUAAACAAACACAUUCUGUUCAUAAAACUCAGUCUUUGCUACCUCAUUAUCUAUGUGGCCAUGAUCAACUUACCACUACCUUUCAGUAUCAGAAACGACAUAUGUUCAACUUAAUUCACAGGGUUUUGGUAAAAGCCAAAUGACAUAAUAUAAGUGAGUAUCCUUUGUAAACUCCAAAUACUGCAAACACACCAGGAAUUGUAUUCUUAGGUGUAUUCUUUGGUGAAACAAAAAUCUUUAUUUUUGCAAUUUCAUAUAUACAAUUCCUUGAGUAGGUCCCUUUCUCUGAUUUCAGGUAUAAUCUUGCUUCAGUGUCUGUUUUUCAGAAUAUUAUGCAGACUCAGCAUUGAGAAUUUAAUAUUAGAAAAUUGAGAAACAAGGCAUCACAACACAGUAUAGAAGGUAUGAUUAACAUAUAUGGUAAAUAUUUAAAAAAUAAUUAUUGCAGUAAAAGACAUUGCCAUGAAUUCCUCUCAAAAUAUUCCCCCUUACUCUGAACACACAUAUUCUAUCAUUCUUGGCCACUUUCUCUACCAUUUCUGGAAGUCUUGUUUUGUGAAUGCAUUUAUGAAGUGUAAUUAAAAAUGUUUAACACUGCUGCCAGCCGAGUGCCAUCCCAUGGAAAGGCAGGCUCAUGAAACCAUGGUGGUGUGCUCUUUUCCACCUUAUUCAUCAUGCAAAUUCUGGCUCUUUCCCUGAGUCAAAGCAGUCAUGAAAGGUAAAUAUUUUGAAUCAAUUCAGGAGAUCAAGGCAGCCAUGACAGCACAAG